rnacentral:rRNA from 1 species
UACGGAGGGGACUAGCGUUGUUCGGAAUUACUGGGCGUAAAGAGUACGUAGGCGGCUUAUCAAGUUGGGUGUGAAAGCCCGGGGCUCAACCCCGGAACUGCAUUCAAAACUGGUAAGCUAGAGAUCGGAAGAGGUAAGUGGAAUUCCCAGUGUAGAGGUGAAAUUCGUAGAUAUUGGGAAGAACACCAGUGGCGAAGGCG